UAGCGAUACUCUGGAAAGUGUCGGGCCCGAAAGGGUCAGGCCGCCGACGGUGUAACCUCGACGAUUGGUCUUUUUUGGGCCGCUUCGAAGGGGGAAAACUCUCAGGUUUCCGUGACAGAGGGGGCACC
rnacentral:ncRNA from 2 species